rnacentral:rRNA from 1 species
GAUGAACGCUGGCGGCGUGCCUAAUACAUGCAAGUCGAGCGAACAGACGAGGAGCUUGCUCCUCUGACGUUAGCGGCGGACGGGUGAGUAACACGUGGAUAACCUACCUAUAAGACUGGGAUAACUUCGGGAAACCGGAGCUAAUACCGGAUAAUAUCUUGAACCGCAUGGUUCAAUAGUGAAAGAUGGUUUUGCUGUCACUUAUAGAUGGAUCCGCGCCGCAUUAGCUAGUUGGUAAGGUAACGGCUUACCAAGGCAACGAUGCGUAGCCGACCUGAGAGGGUGAUCGCCCACACUGGAACUGAGACACGGUCCAGACUCCUACGGGAGGCAGCAGUAGGGAAUCUUCCGCAAAGGGCGAAAGCCUGACGGAGCAACGCCGCGUGAGUGAUGAAGGUCUUCGGAUCGUAAAACCCUGUUAUUAGGGGAGAACAAAUGUGGAAGUAACUAUGCACGUCUUGACGGUACCUAAUCAGAAAGCCACGGCUAACUACGUG